CGGGUUCACGCCAUUCUCCUGCCUCCGGCUUCCAAGUAGCUGGGAAUACAGGCGCCCGCCACCACGCCCGGCUAAUAUUUUUGUAUUUUUAGUAUAGACAGGGUUUCACCGUGUUAGCCAGGAUGGUCUUGAUCUCCUGACCUCGUGAUCCGCCCGCCUCGGCCUCCGAAAGCGCUGGGAUUACAGGCGUGAGCCACCGCGCCCGGCCAUUGCUUUCUUGCAGCAACUGGGGAUUGUUGCAGGAAUUCUGUCAUUACAGCCCCAGGAAAAUGGAAGAAGAGGAAAAUGAAAAAAGACAAAAGGGAUAUGAUGCUGGGCAAAAUCCCACCAAAAUCAGACGUAGGAAGGAAUCCAGCCCUUUUGCCCAGUAGAAUUAUGGGGGAAAAGGAGAAGCAAAUGGCGAGACACUUGAAUUCCAAGCUCUCCUCUUGAAGUGGAAGCCGUAGAGAAAGGAGGCAUGUUAGGUUGAAGAAAGAUGGUGAGGUUCCCAGAGACUAGCCACUUCAGGAAGCUCUUCUUACCCUUCGGGAUAAAGGGAGCAGAGAAGGAAAAAGCAGAGUCCAUGGAAUCAUGGGGACACACAGCAAUGCCAGAGACUUCUUGCCAAAGCAAGGAGCGAGCAGGGAAGAAAAGCUCCCACCUCUCACCUUCCAAACCUCAGGCUCCUGCUGGUGUCUCCCAUUAACCAAAACCACAGACACCAACCAGCAAGAAAGCCAGGGACCUAGAGUCAGUAGGGGUAAAUAGAGCCUUUCAGGACACGGAGAAGGGCAGGCAAAGGCACAGAUGGGUGUAGCCAGGGGCAGCAAGGGGAGAAUAACCAGGCACCUCCUUCCAUUCCAGCAUGAGGGCCUGGAAGCCCCUCUUUCUUGCACAUGCACAUGCCAUGCUGGGGAGCGGCAAUGGGAGUUCCGAAAUACUGAACAUUUAUCUAGAGACUGAGUCACUUAAAGCAACUGCUGAAAUUAUUGAAACAGACUGUUUUCUAAUCUAGACUAAAAUAUACUAUAUUUUUCUCUCUAUCCAUCAGUCCAUUGUAAUGAAAAUUUAAUCAAUUACUUAAAGCAAUAAAAGAAACUACAUUUUUAUUGUACAACUUACUGAAGUGUGAGGAAAUGGGUGGAUCCUUCCCACUUUGUAUCCUCUCUACCGUUCUCUACUUCCAAGGUAACUGAGGUGACUUAACAAUGAAACAAGUCAGAAAUGUCCUGAUAGAGACCAAAGGAAGACAAUAUUUCAGACUCCUCUGCGUCUGUAGCAGCAUGUGUUUCUAGGAUUGUUCUGGAAGAGAAAAUGCAGAAACAGCAGGGAGCAGAAGAUAAACAGGCAAUCCGUGACUCAUUAAAACAAGCAUUGGUCGCCAACAUUGUGGAGUGUGUGAAGACCCCAGAUCCAACUCGCCUAUAAACUUUUUUUUACCAGCUGGACUUAGCAUCUGCCAGAGUUUGGAAAGAGAGAUAAUCUGGUACAAAUGAUUUCAGUGUGUCGCAUUUAUUAACCUGCCACCUUACAUAACUCUGCUGAUUGGGAACUCAGGGAAAUGUUUGAGCAAUGACACAGCUUAUUGUUGGAAUGUUACAACUUUACUAAUAAAGAUGCAAGUUACUGUUUAAAAAAAAAUACAAAGACCACAGAGCAAUUGGAAAAUAAAAAUGAAGCAAAGCUAAAAAGCAUCAUGGUCUUGAGAAAUGUACGUGCCAGAAAAAUAAUUGAAAUUCAGUUUGAAUUUUGAUCAUUUUCAGUGCUUUACAUCAAUUAGGCAGGAAAAGUAUUUUAUUUUUAAAUAGUUGUCACAUUAGUUUGUCUUAACAGCUUUGAUGUAAAUAAAUGCCAAACUGGGAGCAUUAUCAUGUCCUUUCCAAACUACUUACUGUUCUAAAUGAAUGAUUCGCUUCUGUUGUUAAAUCUCUGACAAUUGCUAGAAGGGCAUUUUCACAGUAGAACUGAAGGAAAAGUAAAAUAGUGCCCAUUUUUGUUUAUAUACAAAACCGUGUCCAUUUUUGUCUUAAACAGCCUGCCUGGCUUCACAGUUUAUUAAAGACAAAGAACAUUACCCCAGGAAUAAAAUCAGUACCGAUAACCUGCAUACUUUUCAUUCUUGGGCUUUGAUUUACUUCCUUUUUUGCCUCAAAGUUUGCUUGGGAUCAUUUGGUCAAGAGGUGGAAACACCAAAGAGCAAUUUUCUUUUUUCUAUUUCUUAUCCAGAUCUCAUGCCAGUAAUUUCAAAUUAAUGAGGAUGUUUACUCUCUGGUACAAAAUUUGCACAUACUAGCUUAUAAAAUAUGGAUAAGCUGGUUUCCUAUAACAAAAUAUAGCCCUACCAUUUCAAAAAUGAAAACUGCAGAGACUUUGGAAAAAAAUCAGCUGAAGGAAUUCUUCACGUUUCACAAUGGUUAGCCUAUUAUUUGUAGUUUUGAAACUUUAUUGGUCCCCAAUCUAAUCUUUUCUGAGUAUAAAAACAUUAACAUAUGGUUUAACACAGCACAGGGCUGGAAAGUCCAUAUCCCAAAUGCAUAUUGUAUGCAGGGUGACAUUCACACUAAAUACCAUCCCUCAGGGUCUGUACUCCAUUUUACCUGGGAUUGGAGAGCCAUGAAAUCCCUGGAAAAGUUGUUCAUGAGUCUGAACCAAAUGGUGUGCAGUGUACUGAGAUACUAACAGUCUAUGCUUCUGCCAAAGGUUGCGGCUCAAAUGUCUCUCUAAGUAACAUUAAAAAUCUGCUGCUUCAUGCCUAUGAAUUUCAAUAUUUAUAGCAUUCAAUAAAACGGUCCACUGUCAGAGAGAGAUGUGCCACUGUGCACUCUCUGAGCAGAUGGGCGGCAAUAUGGCACAUUUACAUGGACCAGCUGUGGAGCGCAGAAAUGGAUGCUGGUCAGGGGCAAGGUGCAGGCCCCACAUCUGGAAUUCUAACCGACUGGCCUCGGUACCCAUUGUAAACUUUCCUUCCACAGGGUGAGCUCUGAUUUAGAGCUGCUCACUAGUGUGCCUUAAACUGCAUCAAGAGUCCUCAUUAACGCAAGAGACUAGAGGGAGGUUAGGGCCUGGAAUCCCUCUGUCGGGCAUCUGUUAGAGUCUGUGGAUGGCACUCUGUAGUCGUUAUAGAUGCACCCAGGGGAAGAUUCUCUCAGGCAUGAUGCAGUGUUCUCUAUUUAACUGAUUUUAUACCCCCAAAAAAGAGGUUUUUAUUAUAAACAGAGCUACUUUUUCCAUAUCCCCUUUUCUAAAUGGAUCAGAAUAUACCUCAGAGAAAGGACAAUUUCUAGAAUAUUUAAAAAUUUCGUAGAAAUGUCGAAUUCUUUUUUCAAGUCUCAAAUGGAACGUUGUCUUAUUUUGGGUAGAAUCAGAAUGGUUCAAAUGCAGUUAGAAGUUUCUAAAAUAUAUGAAAUUCUUAGACUAGCUGUUUUCAUUGUAGUAUCACUAUUCAGACAAUCAAAACAGCUUAGUUGUGUGUCAUUUAAAUAAUUCAACUGACUUGAUAGAAAGGUAAGCUGCUUUUGACAUUUUAAAUAUGAACAAGAAAUGGUUUGUUACAUUCAAAUACUCAUCAGAAAUAACAUUCCUGUUUCAUUUUCAAUAAAUACUUUUAAGAGAAAGUUCUACUCAUUCUUUCAUUUUGUAAAAUAAUCUUUCCCACAUUUUCCAAUUAUUGACUAAGAUGUAUUUGGUCUUCAGUGGUCCCAUCUCUUGAAUAGUUGUUUAUAUCCUUACGUUACUGAGUAUUCAUUUUCUAUGACAAUCUCUCAAGAUCUAUUCCAGUCUCCUUUCACCCCCAAGAGAAACGCAGGUAUUUUAAGCAAGUGAGACAAUACAACUCGUUAUCAAAUGGGUUAUGGUAACUCAAUCAUGUAAUGUAUGGAUAUUUUAGGGUCUCAUCAUUCAACACUCAACUUUAAAACUACUCUGAAAUCUAAACAUAGAUAUGUAUUUAUGCUAUUUGGCCUCAAUCUUCAAAAAGGAAAAUUUUGGCCAGGCGCGUUGGCUCACGCCUGUAAUUCCAGCACUUUGAGAGGCCGAGGGGGGCAGAUCACCUGAGGUCAGGAGUUCGAGACCAGCCUGGCCAACACGGAGAAACCCCAUCUCUACCAAAAGUACAAAACUAGCCAGGCGUGGUGGCACGUGCCUGUAAUUCCAGCCACGCAGGAGGCUGAGGCAGGAGAAUAGCUUGAA
rnacentral:lncRNA from 10 species